UGGGGAAUAUUGCACAAUGGGCGCAAGCCUGAUGCAGCCAUGCCGCGUGUAUGAAGAAGGCCUUCGGGUUGUAAAGUACUUUCAGUCGGGAGGAAGGUGUCAAGGUUAAUAACCUUGGCAAUUGACGUUACCCGCAGAAGAAGCACCGGCUAACUCCGUGCCAGCAGCCGCGGUAAUACGGAGGGUGCAAGCGUUAAUCGGAAUUACUGGGCGUAAAGCGCACGCAGGCGGUCUGUCAAGUCGGAUGUGAAAUCCCCGGGCUCAACCUGGGAACUGCAUUCGAAACUGGCAGGCUAGAGUCUUGUAGAGGGGGGUAGAAUUCCAGGUGUAGCGGUGAAAUGCGUAGAGAUCUGGAGGAAUACCGGUGGCGAAGGCGGCCCCCUGGACGAAGACUGACGCUCAGGUGCGAAAGCGUGGGGAGCAAACAGG
rnacentral:rRNA from 1 species